rnacentral:rRNA from 1 species
GGGGGACGGAAACUGAUUGGAGCAAUACCCCGCUGAACGAUGAAGGUCUUCUGAUUGUAAAGUUCUUUUAUUUAGGAAAAAAAGCGCGCUAGGAAAUGAGCGCGCCUUGAUGGUACUAAUUGAAUAAGUGACAGCUAACUAUGUGCCAGC